UACGUAGGGUGCAAGCGUUAAUCGGAAUUACUGGGCGUAAAGCGUGCGCAGGCGGUUUUGUAAGACUGUCGUGAAAUCCCCGGGCUUAACCUGGGAAUGGCGAUGGUGACUGCAAGGCUAGAGUUUGGCAGAGGGGGGUAGAAUUCCACGUGUAGCAGUGAAAUGCGUAGAUAUGUGGAAGAACACCAAAGGCGAAGGCAGUGUCCUGGGUGGUCGCUGACGCUGAGAGGCGAAAGCCAGGGGAGCGAACGGG
rnacentral:rRNA from 1 species